AACGCUGGCGGCGUGCCUAAUACAUGCAAGUCGAGCGAACAGAAGGGAGCUUGCUCCCGGAUGUUAGCGGCGGACGGGUGAGUAACACGUGGGUAACCUGCCUGUAAGACUGGGAUAACUCCGGGAAACCGGAGCUAAUACCGGAUAGUUCCUUGAACCGCAUGGUUCAAGGAUGAAAGACGGUUUCGGCUGUCACUUACAGAUGGACCCGCGGCGCAUUAGCUAGUUGGUGGGGUAAUGGCUCACCAAGGCGACGAUGCGUAGCCGACCUGAGAGGGUGAUCGGCCACACUGGGACUGAGACACGGCCCAGACUCCUACGGGAGGCAGCAGUAGGGAAUCUUCCGCAAUGGACGAAAGUCUGACGGAGCAACGCCGCGUGAGUGAUGAAGGUUUUCGGAUCGUAAAGCUCUGUUGUUAGGGAAGAACAAGUGCGAGAGUAACUGCUCGCACCUUGACGGUACCUAACCAGAAAGCCACGGCUAACUACGUGCCAGCAGCCGCGGUAAUACGUAGGUGGCAAGCGUUGUCCGGAAUUAUUGGGCGUAAAGGGCUCGCAGGCGGUUUCUUAAGUCUGA
rnacentral:rRNA from 1 species